rnacentral:ribozyme from 1 species
UUUCUUCUUCCUUCAAUUUUUUUUUUUUCUUCUUCUUUUUGUUUUUUUUUUCUAUUUGG